rnacentral:lncRNA from 1 species
AUAAAUUUGAUAAUUAGUAGGUGUCUCACUAAAAUGUUCUGCAGGUGUAUCACUCAACACUCAAAUUUCUCUCGAUUUUUGGGUAAGGGUGUCACUCACGAGUUCUGUAACUGUAUCCCUCCACACAAAUACUGAGCUUCCAAAAUGCUGAGUACCUGCAAGAAAAUCACCUUAGCCACCCUUAAAGGGGGUCACCGGUGGUGCAAUGGGAGUUCGUAAUUCCCAGUCCCUGCAGACUCAUCAGAUAAAUCUGAAUCAUGGUCCAUAAGUUGCCAACCACUAAGUGGCUUAUCCAGUUAAGGAUCCAGAGUUGUUUGCUCUGGAAGGUUAGACAAAGGCUUAAUUAUGGCAAAGGCCUAAGUCCUCCUCAAUGUCUGUGAUUCAAGAGAAUCAUCAACCAUAAGUUCACACCGUGAAAUGGAAUGAACCGUAGUUGCUUCCGUCAAUUCUUUCAACAACAUGUGAGUUUUCGAUACUAAAUAUUAUAAUAUGUACCUCACAAGUGUUUCACUCUUCUCAAUUUCCUAUGUGUUUGCACUCACUCAUGCUCACAUAUUUCUCAUUCUGAUAUCUCACUGGUUCUUCUCAGAAGCCCACCAAGUGUUUAACUCUCAGUGUUUGGCUCACAGUGUUUCUCUCAGCACUCAAAGUAUGGUCUUCUGUACCUGCAUGAGAAAAUCACCAUAGCCCCUUCAAGAGAGGUCACUGGCGGUGCAAUGGGGUUUCGUAAAUCCCCGAUCCUCAACUGACUCAUCAAUAAAUUGACUCAUAGUCAGAGAGUUGCCGAUCUCCUAUAAAU